rnacentral:rRNA from 1 species
AUUGAACGCUGGCGGCAGGCCUAACACAUGCAAGUCGAACGCGUGGCGCACGGGUGUGUAAUGUCUGGGACACUGCCUGAUGGAGGGGUAUAACUUCUGAAAACGGUAGCUAAUCCCGCAUCCUAUCGGAUGUGCCCAGAUGGGAUUAGCUAGUGGGGGGGGUAUCGGCUCAUCUAGGCGUCGAUCCCUAGCUGGUCUGAGAGGAUGACCAGCAACACGGGAACUGAGACACGGGCCAGACUCCGACGGGAGGCAGCAGUGGGGAAUAUGGGACAAGGGGCGCAAGCCUGAUGCAGCCAUGCCGCGUGUGUGAAGAAGGCCUUCGGGUUGUAAAGUACUUUCAGCGAGGAGGCGUUACUCGCAGAAGAAGCACCGGCUAACUCCGUGCCAGCAGCCGCGGUAAUAC